GGGCCCGCACAAGCAGCGGAGCGUGUGGUUUAAUUCGAUGCAACGCGCAGAACCUUACCUCGGCUUGACAUGCACGUGGUACUGACCUGAAAGGGAAGGGACCCGCGAGGGAGCGUGCACAGAUGCUGCAUGGCUGUCGUCAGCUCGUGCCGUGAGGUGUUGGGUUAAGUCCCGCAACGAGCGCAACCCUUGUCCUUAGUUGCUUUCUCUAAGGAGACCGCCGGUCUAAACCGGAGGAAGGUGGGGAUGACGUCAAGUCAGCACGGCUCUUACGUCGAGGGCUACACACACGCUACAAUGGCCGGUACAACGGGCUGCCAAGGGGUGACCCGGAGCUAAUCCCACCAAAGCCGGUCUCAGUUCGGAUUGCAGGCUGCAACUCGCCUGCAUGAAGUCGGAGUUGCUAGUAACUGCCAGUCAGCACAUGGCAGUGAAUACGUUCCCGGGCCUU
rnacentral:rRNA from 1 species